UGGUUUGUGGGCAGACGGGUGAGUAAUGCGUAGGAAUCUACCUAGUAGUAUGGAAUAGCCAUUAGAAAUGAUGGGUAAUACUGUAUAAUCCCUGCGGGGGAAAGAUUUAUCGCUAUUAGAUGAGCCUACGUUAGAUUAGCUAGUUGGUAAGGUAAUGGCUUACCAAGGCUAUGAUCUAUAGCUGGUCUGAGAGGACGAUCAGCCACACUGGAACUGAGAUACGGUCCAGACUCCUACGGGAGGCAGCAGUGGGGAAUAUUGGACAAUGGGCGAAAGCCUGAUCCAGCUAUGCCGCGUGAGUGAAGAAGGCCUUCGGGUUGUAAAACUCUUUCAAUAGGGAAGAUAAUGACGGUACCUAUA
rnacentral:rRNA from 1 species